rnacentral:rRNA from 1 species
UACAGAGGUCUCAAGCGUUGUUCGGAUUCAUUGGGCGUAAAGGGUGCGUAGGCGGCGCGGUAAGUCGGGUGUGAAAUUUCGAGGCUUAACUUCGAAACUGCAUUCGAUACUGCCGUGCUUGAGGACUGGAGAGGAGACUGGAAUUUACGGUGUAGCGGUGAAAUGCGUAGAUAUCGUAAGGAAGACCAGUGGCGAAGGCGGGUCUCUGGACAGUAACUGACGCUGAGGAGCGAAAGCGUGGGUAGCGAACAGG